rnacentral:lncRNA from 1 species
CAACAAGUCUUAUAGUACUUACGGGCAUUUUAAAUAAUAACUAGUGACUCUUUAAAGGAUCGACAAAAAUAAUUCCAACGCUUGUAAAAGCGUCAAGCAAAAAAUUAUUAAAUAAACAAGUCAGGAUAAAUAUAUCGACGCUUUAAUAUAGCAAUCACGACAAAUUUUUAUUAGUAUUUGAUUAAAAUAUAUUUAUUAUCGAUACUUAAUCAUGAUGUCGGCACAUACUAAAUAUUAAAAAUGUUAGAAUAAAAAGUCAUCUAAAAAAUAUUAUUUAAAAUAUAUUUUGUUAUAGUGAC